UUUCUCGACAGAGCAAAACAACUUUCACUCUUGUUAUUCUUAUCCUCGAUUGAUAUUCCUCUCUCUUCUACACAGAGAGAUUCACUACCGCUCCAUCACCAGAUCGUAGAAGAGAGAUUUACCAUCGCUCCAUCAUCAGAUCCAUCUCAACCCUCUUCCUCUUCUUUGAAUCAACUAAUUAAGCUCCAAACGUCCAUGAAAGAUUAAUUAAUGCGUAUGAAGGAAUCAACAAUUGUAGCAGGCUAGCAGCAUAACCAGAUGCAGUGUUCAAAUCAGAUGUUAAUGGUUGAAAUCACUCAGUGUGAAAAUUCAAGAGAAAGAUGAACAGGAAGCAUCAGAGAUUCUAAUGGCACGGUUGAACUUGAAAGCAUAGAGAAAGGAAAUAAAAAGAACUAGGUGUGCUAAAAUUGGGAGCUCCAGACAAGAUUGAUGUGCUAAAAUGACAAGCACUAAUUGUUGGAGCUCUUAUGGGAUUGAUAUAACUCAAAAGGUUGGAGUUGAAGUGAUGUAUGAUAUUGUAUGUAUGAUGCUAUUGUUAAGGAUACUUGGAGUAACAAGAUUUAUAUCUAAGGCUUCAAUUGGAGUGGCAAGUGCAGUUGGAGACUUUGGAUGCCCGACCGUUCAUGCCGUCAAGAACAACGAUUUUUACUAAAUCUGAUGGAUUUUAUGUUUUAGUUAUUAGAUUUUUUUGUUUUGGCAAUGUCUGUUGGAGUGAUGUAUUUGAUAUUUUAAAACAAUUAGUUUAACAUGUUAAUUUAUAACUCUUUUUUAGUAAAAUUAUCUGUCAGUUCUUCAGUUAACCGAAACCGGGAGGUUCAAA